GAGGGAUCCCCCGUUCCGGAGCUGCGGGGCGCCGCCGGCCCCGGGGCCGCACGAGCCAGCCUGUCCCGGGGGUGGGAGUGUGGAGCUGCAGCUCCACGCGCCGCGGAGCCCGGGCACGGCGCGGCUCCCCCCUCCCGCGCCCCAUCCUUCGCGCUGCCCGGUGUCGCCUAUGCUGCAGGCGGGCCCCGCCGCCCCCCCGUCACCCUCCAGGAGCAGGUGAGCCACUGACUAACGCACAUUGUGCUCUCGGCGACUCCACUGUGCGUGUGACAGCGGCUAACCUGCUCCUCGGACAUCACUGUGCGGCCGCCUCGCCUCCCCGGACCCGCGCCUCGAAGCCUCGACGCCCUCCUGCGCUCUCGGCCAGCCAGCCCUGCAUUUGGGACUGUGCUGGCUGAUGAGCUAACCCCGGGAGAUGCCGCUGGCAGGAGCAGCUCUGCAGGUCACCUGGCAAGGCCUGUCCCAGUUCCCAUGAGCAGCACUAUGGUAUGAAUGCUUCCGACUUCCUGCCACCAAUGGAACCAUCCUGUUCAGCUCCACUCUUCAUGGAGGGAAGGGAACAGGCCUUACCCUUCAAGCACCACACGAAGAAGCGCCUGUUGUGUUCUGUCCAUAACACGUCUCAGUGUCAGGUGAGCCUCACCGCAGGAGCAAGCUGCUCUAUGAGGAAUAGAAGGAGUACAUGAAUUGUUUAAGAGGAAGUCA